rnacentral:rRNA from 1 species
ACGCUGGCGGCAUGCUUUACACAUGCAAGUCGAACGGCAGCACGAGGAGCUUGCUCCUUGGUGGCGAGUGGCGCACGGGUGAGUAAUAUAUCGGAACGUGUCCUAUUGUGGGGGAUAACUAGCCGAAAGGUUAGCUAAUACCGCAUAAGACCUGAGGGUGAAAGCGGGGGAUCUUCGGACCUCGCGCAGUUGGAGCGGCCGAUAGCCGAUUAGCUAGUUGGUAGGGUAAUGGCCUACCAAGGCAACGAUCGGUAGCUGGUCUGAGAGGACGACCAGCCACACUGGGACUGAGACACGGCCCAGACUCCUACGGGAGGCAGCAGUGGGGAAUUUUGGACAAUGGGGGCAACCCUGAUCCAGCCAUGCCGCGUGCAGGAUGAAGGUCUUCGGAUUGUAAACUGCUUUUGUCAGGGAAGAAAAGUUUAGAGCGAAUAACUCUGAAUGCUGACGGUACCUGAAGAAUAAGCACCGGCUAACUACGUGCCAGCAGCCGCGGUAAUACGUAGGGUGCAAGCGUUAAUCGGAAUUACUGGGCGUAAAGCGUGCGCAGGCGGUUCUGUAAGAUGGGUGUGAAAGCCCCGGGCUCAACCUGGGAAUUGCAUUCAUGACUGCAGGACUAGAGUUCACCAGAGGGGGGUGGAAUUCCAAGUGUAGCAGUGAAAUGCGUAGAUAUUUGGAAGAACACCGAUGGCGAAGGCAGCCCCCUGGGGUGCGACUGACGCUCAUGCACGAAAGCGUGGGGAGCAAACGGGAUUAGAUACCCUGGUAGUCCACGCCCUAAACGAUGUCUACUGGUUGUUGGGGAUUUAUAUCCUUGGUAACGAAGCUAACGCGUGAAGUAGACCGCCUGGGGAGUACGGUCGCAAGAUUAAAACUCAAAGGAAUUGACGGGGACCCGCACAA